AUCGCCUUGAAACGUGUAUGCGUCAGCAAAGUAUGAUCAGUCACACUAGUCAAUAGCACUACAGGACUAUUGUCCGUGAGUCAAUUAUCCUUCUUAAGCCUAUAUCCUUCAAGUUCAUUCUUCGACAGAGUGAAUUCAAUUCUCUAGCACCACACAAGUGGCUGCUGGCCGAGACAAUUGAGUGCUACCUCAGAGCCAUACUGAAUGUGAAAGAAAAGGAAAAUAAUAUAUAUCCUCAACCAUUAUCCUGCCGGAGUCAUAGUUUUUGGAGCACGGUCUGCCAUGGCCAAUCACUCAUUACGCAAGCUUAACUUUGACAACUACGAUGGAGUCAUAGGAUUCAUGAAUGUUGCAAACAACCACUGGAAAUUCCUGUAUCCCUACAAGUUGAACCAAAACGUGUUUGUCAUGGAUCCCUUGGGUCAUGAGGACAAAGAGUCAGGCGUUGCUGCGGAACGGUUUCGCCAGUUCUUCAGGAGGCGGCAGAACCGCUAACAGAAGACUGAUUGGGUGGAUGUAAAGUGGCAGCAAGCCACAAUCAAGCACAGCAUUCAAAAGGAUGGUUGUAGCUGUGGUGUUUUCGUCAUGAAGAUGGCUACAGACAUGGUGGAGGCUUUUCCCGUUGUCCCCCAGGGAAUAGAAAUACCCACAUCACUAAAAGACUUAAAAGACCGGAGGAUCACCAUGGCAAAAACCAUACUGCAGUGCUCUGUCUUCAGUGAAACAGACCAUUGUUCCAGUUGCGGCCAGGAGAAUCCCACUGGACAGAAGGGUAACACAAAAUGGGUUGAAUGCACUAAAUGCAAGAGGUGGUACCAUCCGACCUGCAUGGCCAUGUCGGAUGAAGAAUGGGAAAAAGAGGAAGUAGCAUUGAAAUCGAACUGUGGCCUUAACUGAUUUACCGUACAAGGUGUCUACGUUACAUAUCUAACUUUGAAUGUGCCUGGUAUGUGUGUAAUGUAUAAAGUGAACAUAGAAUAGAUGGAAUUCCUUCCAAUUCCUGGUUGUAAAAUUAAUUUUAGUUUAAUCACUUUGCUUUAGCAACUCGCAAUUAAUGCUAAACUACCUGAAAGGUUGUAUGUUUCAUGCCAAAAUAAAUAUUUGCAUGCUUGAUCUAAAUUAAGAGCAGCAAAUUUGGAAGAAAAAUAAGGCAAAAUAAAAAAUGAGAAAUGCAUGUAAAUGAUGCUCACUGUUAUUAUUCUGUCUAAGAAUCUUGAAAAAGUGUUUUAAAGGGAAGCAAGAAGCUGUGAAAUCUUCAAUGUGAGUUUAUGAACACAUCGGUUUGGUGUUUAUCUUUAAAAACAAGGGAGGUAUUACAAAAUAUUAUUUUUUUGUGCUAAUCCACAAUGUUUUUAAAUUUUGAAAGCAUGUCUCGUGUUCAAGGUUCAUGGUUUUUUUAUUAAAUUUCCCAAGAGGGCAAAUUAGUUCACAGCGAAGGAGGUAGUGGCUAAAAACACACGACAGAACAAGUCAUCAAUGUGUUGUCUUUUUAGUGGACUCUGCAUUAAUAUGUGGUUCAUCCGAGUCCCUUGAUAUUGCUCGAUUAACAAAUACAUUUCUUUUUAACAGGGAACUAUGUAGCCAAUCAAAUGUCUUCCUCGUUUUCAGCAAAUCACAUGAGCGCUGUACUUGUCUCUGUAUUUUAUAUUUUCUAAAGUUCAGAGAUUUUUCCCUGUAAUUAUACCAAAAGUUUUGAUUCCUACAAAAACUGAUUAUAAGUGUUAUGAAAUAAAAAGCUGUAUAUAUUAUACCAUUUUAACUACAAGAUUCGGCUUGAGAUUAUUUUCUGGCAGGUGAUACUCAUGAUUAUUAUCAACACAUUUUAAAGCAUAUAAAAAAUGUCAGUAUCAUUUUCUGCCAGGAAAACUCCAAUGCGUCAUAUUUUUGCUUUAAAACGUAUGACGGCUGAUAAAAUAGACAGGAUUUGUUCUUAUCUACCCCAUAUAGCCGACAUGAAUGUUAUAGUGUCAGUUUGGAGCAGAAAUAUCAUUGUAACUACAAGAUUCGGCUUCAGAUCAUUUUCUGGCAGGAGGGAAACGACUGAAAUGUCUUAUAUUUGCCCAUGUAAAGGUGUUUCAGCUGGUAAUGGACACUGGAUGGAAUAUAAUCUAUUUUAUGUGAUACUCAUGAAUGUUAUCAACUCAUUUUAAGGCAAAUAAAACAUUUCAUGUCAUAUUUUCGCUUUAAAACGUAUUACAGCUGAUAAAAGAAACUGGAUUUGUUCUUAUCUACCCCACAUAGCCCACAUGAAUGUUAGUGUCAGUUUGAACCCUAAUCUAUUUAAUGUGAUAGGACUUACUCAUGAAUGUUAUCAAUUCAUUUUGAGAAGAAAAAAACUUCUUCUUGAAAAAUCUAUA